GACGAACCGUACGAACGUUAUUCGGAAUCACUGGGCGUAAAGGGCGUGUAGGCGGUUAGGUAAGUGGAAUGUGAAAUCCCUCGGCUCACCCGAGGACCUGCAUCCCAAACUGCCUGACUUGAGUAUGGGAGAGGAUGAGGGAAUUCCUGGUGUAGCGGUGGAAUGCGCAGAUAUCAGGAGGAACACCAAUGGUGAAGGCAGCACUCUGGGACGUGACUGACGCUGAGACGCGAAAGCGUGGGGAGCAAACAGG
rnacentral:rRNA from 1 species